AUAUAUAUUUGUGUAUAUGUGUGUAAUAUAGUGUAUAUUGUAUAUGUUUUAUAUAUAAUAUUUAUGUAUUUAUACAUAAUACUCAUAUUUAUGCACACACAUACACAAAAGAUACAUAUUAGGAAUAUAGAAAUGAAUAGUUAAUAAAUAGCAAUAGAAUAAAUAAACAGGAUAAUAGGAAUAUAGAAAUAAAUUUAUUUCCAUAUUCUUAGGAAUAUAGAAUUAGUUGUUGAAUAAUCACAGCAACUAAACUGUGGAUAGUAGAGGUAGCAUAAUGUAUGCUAUACUGUAUAAAUAUAUAUAUAGUGUCUAAAGACACUUUUAUGUAUGUAUGAGCUGAAUAUAGUUCAUAUGCACAUGUGCAUGUGUACAUGUGGCCAUCAUUAGACAUGUGAUUUACAAAUGUAUAAGCUAAAUGUAUUUUAUGCAUACAUCUGUAUGUGUAUAGACAUGUUUAUAAUUGCAAAGUUAAAAAGUUUAAUUAUAUAUUAUAAAUAUACACAUGUAUGCUUUUCAUAUAGGUAUAAAAUAUAUAACUUACAGAGAUAUUUAAUUAUAAAGAAAUAUAAAUAUAUUGCAUAUAAACAUACAUAUAUCCACCUGUGUAUGUGUAUGCAUAACUAUAGCUAGAUAUUUGGUUUACAUUAAAAGUCACAGUCUCACUGACAGUUACUUAAAACCCCAGGCCUGUCAGAAGCAGGGAGAGGACAGGCUGAGCUAGUUGUGUUUCUAGCUAGCUGUAAAGAUUGUGUGUGUAUAUAAUUAAGAAUACUAUAAUUAAUAGGUUCUAUGCCAUGCCAUUAUUUAAUUAUAAAUUAUUAUAUACCUGAAAGACUUUAUAUGUUUGUAUACAUACCUUUUACAUGUGUGUGUAUAUAUAUGUAUAUUUUAAUAUAUAUUUUCAACACACAUAUGUUCUGAAUACACCACUGUAAUUACUGCACUUGUAUUUUGUCCCUAAGCAGCUGCCCCUGGGCACGCUGCAGGCACAGCCCAUGCCCAGCAGCAGAUGCACAGCGUGCUGGGGUGCUGUGGUUUGGGCUGGGUGCACACAAGGUUCAAAUCAGGGUGUUGCUGGCAGAGCCAAGGUGAUGAACACUGAACUCACCUCAACCUCAACAUGCAGGGGACAGGAGGGGGUGUUGCUGCCGGACACUAUUAAAUGUCUACAGCACCAUCUCAGGUAGGGGUUCUUUCCUGAGCUUGCUGCAAAUCAAAGCAAUCCAUAUCAUCGGCUUUAGACAUU
rnacentral:lncRNA from 1 species